ACGGAACGCAUCUUAAAUGUUUGAUAUAUUUUGACGGAAUCUGAUACAUUUUGAUAGUGAGGAUUUUUUUCCUUCCGGCGACACUGUGCACAGUGUUGUUUACCGUGAUGAUGCAUGAUAGAAAUCUGUUAGAGUAGGCGGUAUAUUUCUUUUAUGCAUCUAAAGAUGACUGACGUUGAAGUGCUACAAUUAGAUAUAUGGAAAGGCGAUUGGGGUCUUCCAUCUGUUAACAUAGAAUGUUUGCAAGUUUUGGCAUAUGCUAAAUUCAGUGGAAUACCUUUAAAAAUAAAUCUUACCAGUAACCCAUUUAAAACACCAAAUGGUCGAUUACCGUUACUUAGAGCUGGUAUGAAUACUUUCGAUACAGUUAAAGAUAUAUUGCCAUUAUUUGGAGGAAAAUAUAAUUCUGACUGUAUAUUAACCGAUAUGCAGUACGCCGACGUUAUGGCUUAUGAUGCUCUACUUAAAGAAAAGUUGUAUCCAGCCUUGCAAUAUAUAUGAUUGAAAAAAAGUGCUUUACCGUUACUUGUAAGUAACGAAAAAAUCCUUACUUCCUACGUUAUCUUUUUCUUAAUAGAUAGGAAUAAAUUAAACGUUCGGUUCGUCCGAAUCGCCGGCGCAAAAACCGCAGGGCAAACCCGGAACGCGAGAUUGAAUCCUGGUCUCUAGUGACCUCUCGAAUAGAAUGGGCGCCAGGUGCGCACAGGUCGCACCCACGAAACGACAGCCUACGCGGUCGGCCUAAGCCGUCCGCGCUUCGAACCCGCGACCCGAGUUCGUCCCGAUCGGAACCGGGAUGAGUUAAGUCGGAGGCGGGGUUGUUCGUAGGGUCACGCCGAGAUCGAUUAAAGAAAUUACAGUCCCGCGGUUUCGGUAACGUAACGUACGCUUUUAUUUGGUAAAACGAUUUCGACAACAGAUUGCGCUCACGCGGUAGCGCUUCGCGUUACACAAUUUCAAGCCCUGUCCGGGCCGCGGCGGACUCACGAUGUCCGCCGGUAGAGUGGCUGGCCUUUUGAGCGGCUGCCGAGCCAAGGUAGAGAGAACGGUACGACACGCUACACCCGCGGGGUGAUUUCCCCGCGAUGCUUUACGAUACAAAAAAAAACGAAUGCGGAUGGGCGGCCUUACAAUUUUGGGCUCUUGGCGGCUGGCUCUUGGGGGUCGCUCGUCUUCCUUCUUCGGCACGUCCUCGCCCUUUCUGUCUAUCUCUCUCCCUCUCUCGCUCUCUCCUUCACCAGACUCCGGCUCGCCCUCUGCCUCUCUCUCUCACUCGCCACUCGGCUCCCACGGUAACUCGGUCUCUCUCUCUCGCUCUCUCACUUGCACCAACUUGUCCUCAUCACUAACUCUUGCUUGCUACGCACCAGGAAGAGCUCUCUCUCCGUCGGGGUGACCUGCUGAUUUUUAAGCAGGUCCCCCUUUUCCCAUGUGGUUUCGAAAUCCGUCUCCCCUCGCAGCCGGAUCUUUAUCGACGGCGGCUGAUUCGUGGCCUGCCGUCUCACCUCCUGCCCCGAUCGCUCGCAGCAGUGCCGCGGUCUCGGUUUGUUGUUUGUCCUCUGUACGCGUCCUCGGCCCACUACCAAGGGGACGGAACACGACAGCCUCGGCGGUGCCGUUAACCCCUUAGUUUAUAAUGACGUGUCAGAGUCUACUGGGCCAAACAUAAACAAGACGUAUCAGAGACGUGAUGUGCUGACCGGGCCAAACAUGAACAAGACGUGUAAGAGACGUGGUGGAGCGGCCGUGCCAAAUGUAAACAAAACGUCUCAGAGACGUUCUAGAGCUAACCGGGCUACGGGCAUGACAUUCAUUCAGUUUUCUUUGCCGCAUUCGGAGCUGCAGACUUAGUUCUGUUUAUUUAGAAAUUAAAAUGA